rnacentral:rRNA from 1 species
UACGUAGGGUGCAAGCGUUGUCCGGAAUUAUUGGGCGUAAAGAGCUCGUAGGCGGUUUGUCGCGUCUGCUGUGAAAAACUCGGGGCUUAACUCCGGGCCUGCAGUGGGUACGGGCAGACUAGAGUGCGGUAGGGGAGACUGGAAUUCCUGGUGUAGCGGUGAAAUGCGCAGAUAUCAGGAGGAACACCGGUGGCGAAGGCGGGUCUCUGGGCCGUAACUGACGCUGAGGCACGAAAGCGUGGGGAGCAAACAGG